GAUCUCAUAGCGGAGUGGAUAUGGCGUUAGACUCCGGAUAUAAAGGUCGUGGGUUCGAAUCCCACUGCUAUCG
rfam:Populus trichocarpa scaffold_10_contig_279, whole genome shotgun sequence.